UCUCCCCCAGGGUUGAGCAACCAAAACUCGUCUCUGGAGGUCUUAGCAGCUUAAUAACCUUUUCAGCAGCAUUGAUUUGUUUUUCCCCAAGGUUUUCAUCAAGUAAUAAAUUCCUGCAAUUUCAAGAUUCUGGAGUCACAAUGUAGAAGAAAGUAUAAUUUCGGGUCUCAUGGCCAGCUCGCCCAUUUUUUUGACAAAAAAGAGCACCAAGAAGGUGCAAGAUGUGCAGUACUUUUCGGCUCCUUAUGAACGCAAGGAUCUGAGAAAAGCUAGCAUGAACUCCAUGCCAUGUUCAUUUAAAAGAUUACACAAGAAUUCCAAUAAUACAAGGACUUAUACUUCAGUCGUGUAUAUGUAUAGUUUUUCCUUCAGUACUCUUAUUUCGUUCCAACCAUAGUAAAUAAAAAACGAAGACAACCAGCUCAUGUAUUUCAUUGGACGAUAUUGUCCAAGACAGAAACUUUAUACAUCAGUGAAGUUUAAGUUAAAUUGCUCCA